rnacentral:rRNA from 1 species
AGAGUUUGAUCCUGGCUCAGAUUGAACGCUGGCGGCAGGCCUAACACAUGCAAGUCGAGCGGAUGAAGGGAGCUUGCUCCUGGAUUCAGCGGCGGACGGGUGAGUAAUGCCUAGGAAUCUGCCUGGUAGUGGGGGACAACGUUUCGAAAGGAACGCUAAUACCGCAUACGUCCUACGGGAGAAAGCAGGGGACCUUCGGGCCUUGCGCUAUCAGAUGAGCCUAGGUCGGAUUAGCUAGUUGGUGAGGUAAUGGCUCACCAAGGCGACGAUCCGUAACUGGUCUGAGAGGAUGAUCAGUCACACUGGAACUGAGACACGGUCCAGACUCCUACGGGAGGCAGCAGUGGGGAAUAUUGGACAAUGGGCGAAAGCCUGAUCCAGCCAUGCCGCGUGUGUGAAGAAGGUCUUCGGAUUGUAAAGCACUUUAAGUUGGGAGGAAGGGUUGUAGAUUAAUACUCUGCAAUUUUGACGUUACCGACAGAAUAAGCACCGGCUAACUCUGUGCCAGCAGCCGCGGUAAUAC